UACUAGAGUAGCACUCGCAUAUCAAUAAGCGGAGGAAAAGAAACUAACAAGGAUUCCCCUAGUAACGGCGAGUGAAGCGGGAAGAGCUCAAAUUUGAAAUCUUAAAGGGUUUCCCUUUACGAAUUGUAGUUUAAAGAAGUGUUUUCUGUUGAGGUUUUGGUAAAAGUUCUUUGGAAUAGGACAUCAUAGAGGGUGAGAAUCCCGUAUUUGACCUUUACUUUCAACUUUGUGAUACACUUUCAAAGAGUCGGAUUGUUUGGGAAUGCAGUCCAAAAUGGGUGGUAAAUUUCAUCUAAAGCUAAAUAUUGGCGAGAGACCGAUAGCGAACAAGUACCGUGAGGGAAAGAUGAAAAGAACUUUGAAAGGAGAGUUAAACAGUACGUGAAAUUGUCAAAAGGGAAGCGUUUGACACCAGUGUUGUUUUUCUGAAAAUCAAUUAAAGAACUGUUUAUGCUAAGUUGUUUAGACUUUAUCAGCUAUCUGUUUAGUUUUGAGCUUUUCUUUAAUGCACUUUUCAGUUAACAAGUCAACAUCAAUUUCUUUUGCUGUAAAAAAGCUUGAGGAAGGUGGCUUGAGAUUCGUCUUAAGUGUUUAUAGCCUCUUGCCUAUGCAGUCGGAGAGAUUGAGGUCUGCAGCGUAGAUCCUUCGGGGCUAAAUGCAUUUGUGCUAAGUUAUAGCAUUUUAUAGACAACUUGUUGACUAUGAUUUGUCUUGUAGCUUACUCGCUUAUGUUAUUUUACCUACGCUUAGGAUGUUGAGCGCAUGUCUCUCUC
rnacentral:rRNA from 1 species